GUAAUUAUAUAGUAUAACAAGUACAUUUGGUUUCGACCCAGAAGGUUGGAGUGUUAAAUUUAUCGUU
rnacentral:tRNA from 1 species